CGGACAGUGCACGGGUAUUUUGCUUUGCCUGUGCGUCACGCGCCGGGGGCAGGGGCAGGGCGGCGGUGCCCACAUUGGACGAC
rnacentral:pre_miRNA from 1 species